AAUAUUGCGCAAUGGGGGAAACCCUGACGCAGCAACGCCGCGUGAGUGACGAAGGUUUUCGGAUCAUAAAGCUCUGUCAUCGGGGACGAAGAAGUGACGGUACCCGAGGAGGAAGCCCCGGCUAACUACGUGCCAGCAGCCGCGGUAAUACGUAGGGGGCGAGCGUUGUCCGGAAUUACUGGGCGUAAAGGGUGCGUAGGCGGCCUUAUAAGUCAGAUGUGAAAUACCGAGGCUUAACUUCGGGGGUGCAUUUGAAACUGUAGGGCUUGAGUGCAGGAGAGGAAAGUGGAAUUCCUAGUGUAGCGGUGAAAUGCGUAGAGAUUAGGAGGAACACCAGUGGCGAAGGCGACUUUCUGGACUGUAACUGACGCUGAUGCACGAAAGCGUGGGUAGCGAAC
rnacentral:rRNA from 1 species